GCGGGAAUAGCUCAGUUGGUAGAGCAUGACCUUGCCAAGGUCGGGGUCGCGAGUUCGAGCCUCGUUUCCCGCUCCA
rnacentral:tRNA from 2 species